AUGAUGAUGUCACUGACUCUACUGCUGGGCACCCUGGGGCUCCUUGUUCAGGGUUCAUCAGGACAAACCCUGACUCAAUCUCCUGGAUCUCAGUCUGUUGCUCCAGGACAAAUUGUCAACAUCAGAUGUAAAGCCAGUUUAGAUGUUUAUAGUUAUUAUUUUAAUGCCAGCAUGCUCUACUGGUACCUUCAGAAACCUGGAGAAGCUCCUAAACUCCUGAUUUAUAAUGCUACAAACCGGCAGUCUGGAGUUUCAGAUCGUUUUUGUGGGAGUGGAUCAAACACUGACUUCACUCUGACCAUCAGUAGAGUUCAGGCUGAAGAUGCAGCAGUUUAUUUCUGUUCAUCAGGACAAAUCAGCCUGACUCAGUCUCCUGAAUCUCAGUCUGUUGCUCCAGGAGAGACUGUCACCAUCAGAUGUAAAACCAGUUCAGAUGUUUAUAACAACCUCCAGUGGUACCUUCAGAAAUCUGGAGAAGCUCCUAAACUCCUGAUUUAUUCAUCUACAAGCCGUCAGUAUAGAGUUUCAGAUCGUUUUACUGGAAGUGGAUACAACUAUGACUUCACUCUGACCAUCAGUGGAGUUCAGGCUGAAGAUUCAGGAGUUUACUACUGUCUGCAGGAUUGGGAGACACCGUUCACACAGUGA